UUAAAACUUUCAACAACGGUCUCUUGGCUCUCGCAUCGAUGAAGAACGCAGCGAAAUUCGAUAAGUAAUGUGAAUUGCAGAAUUCAGUGAAUCAUGAAUCUUUGAACGCACAUUGCGCCCUUUGGUAUUCCUUAGGGCAUGCCUGUUCGAGCGUCACUAAAAACCGACUCACAUAUCAUGUGGUAUUGGUAGAAGUGGAUAGUACUAACACUACUUUGUCUUACUCUGCUGAAAUGAAUAGGCCAGAAAAGUGGACCAUGGUAAUAGAUUCCAGGAGUGUUUUAAAAUGCUAUACUAGUCUUAUCCAAGUCAUAUUCUGAGCCACUGGACCCCCCAUUUAGUCCAAACAACAGUGGUUGACCUCGGAUCAGGUAGGGAUACCCGCUGAACUUAAGCAUAUCAAUAAGCGGAGGAAAAGAAACCAACAGGGAUUGCCUUAGUAACGGCGAGUGAAGCGGCAAAAGCUCAAAUUUGAAAUCUGGUGCCUCUGGUGCCCGAGUUGUACUUUGGAGAGGCAUCUUCUCGAGGGACCCAGCCUAUGUUCCUUGGAACAGGACGUCAUAGAGGGUGAGAAUCCCGUCCUUGGCGGGAUGUUCCCUCCUACUCGGAAGUGUCUUCAAAGAG
rnacentral:rRNA from 1 species